rnacentral:rRNA from 1 species
AUUGAACGCUGGCGGCAGGCCUAACACAUGCAAGUCGAACGGUAACAGGAAACAGCUUGCUGUUUCGCUGACGAGUGGCGGACGGGUGAGUAAUGUCUGGGAAACUGCCUGAUGGAGGGGGAUAACUACUGGAAACGGUAGCUAAUACCGCAUAACGUCGCAAGACAAAAGAGGGGGACCCUCGGGCCCCUUGCCAUCGGAUGAGCCCAGAUGGGAUUAGCUUGUUGGUGGGGUAACGGCUCACCAAGGCGACGAUCCCUAGCUGGUCUGAGAGGAUGACCAGCCACACUGGAACUGAGACACGGUCCAGACUCCUACGGGAGGCAGCAGUGGGGAAUAUUGCACAAUGGGCGCAAGCCUGAUGCAGCCAUGCCGCGUGUAUGAAGAAGGCCUUCGGGUUGUAAAGUACUUUCAGCGGGGAGGAAGGGAGUAAAGUUAAUACCUUUGCUCAUUGACGUUACCCGCAGAAGAAGCACCGGCUAACUCCGUG